AAGAUGUUAUUAGAUGUUUUUUUAGGUUGGGAGAAUUGGAAUAUGAUUUAGGUUAUGAAUGUUGGUCGUUUUUUUUUGAAGAUUACGAUUUGUUAUAAAGUUUAUUUUAUGAAGAAUUUAAGAGAUUUUCGUGUUUUUUAGAAUUUAUUAAAUAUUGGUUUUAUAUAAAAAAUUGUGUUUAGUGUUUUUUUAUAUAUUUGGU
rnacentral:misc_RNA from 1 species